rnacentral:rRNA from 1 species
GACGAACCGUGCGAACGUUGUUCGGAAUCACUGGGCUUAAAGGGCGCGUAGGCGGGCCCUCCAGUCAGGGGUGAAAUCUUCCGGCUCAACCGGAAAAGUGCCCCUGAUACUGAGGGUCUCGAGGGGUGUAGGGGCAUGUGGAACUUCCGGUGGAGCGGUGAAAUGCGUAGAUAUCGGAAGGAACGCCGGUGGCGAAAGCGACGUGCUGGACACCUUCUGACGCUGAGGCGCGAAAGCCAGGGGAGCAAACGGGAUUAGAUACCCCGGUAGUCCUGGCCCUAAACGAUGGGUACUAGAUUGUGGACCGGACAUGGGUUCACAGUCGAAGCAAAAGUGAUAAGUACCCCGCCUGGGGAGUAUGGUCGCAAGGCUGAA